ACUCAGACACUGCCUGUCCUCUGAGCAGGGGUCAAUACAGUCACCACCUUGGUAGAGAACAAGAAGGAAGGCUCAGCUGGUGGUGAUGCCUAUGACAUAGACCCUAUUGAGCUGGUGGUUUUCCUUCCUGCACUAUGUCGAAAGAUGGGGGUACCCUACUGUAUCAUCAAGGGAAAGGCCAGGCUGGGGUACCUGGACCACAAGAAGACAUGUUGUUGUUAUUAUUAUUAUUAUUAUUAUUAUUAUUAUUUUCUUUAUUUACAUUUCAAAUGUUAUCCCCUUUCCUAGUUUCCCCACCAAAAGCCCCUAUCCCUUUCCCCCUCCCCCUGCUCACCAACCCACACGCUCCUGCUUCCUGGCCCUGGCAUUCCUCUAUACUGGGGCAUAGAACCUUCACAGGACCAAGGGCCUCUUCUUCCAUUGAUGACUGACUAGGCCAUCCUCUGCUACAUGUGCAGUUAGAGGCACAAGUCCCACCAUGUGUUUUCUUUGAUUGGUGGGUUAGUCCCAGGAAGCUCUGUGGGUACUGGUUAGUUCAUAUUGUUGUUCCUCCUAGGGGGCUGCAAACCCCUUCAGCUCCUAGGGUACUUUCUCUAGCUCCUUCAUUAGGGACCCUGUCUGUGCUCCAUCCAAUGGAUGACUGUGAGCAUUCUCUUCUAUAUUUGUCAGGCACUGGCAAAGCUGCUCAGGAAACAGCUUUAUCAGGUUCCUGUUAACAGAAGACACAUUCUGCUGUUGCCUUCACACAGGUUAACUCAGAAGACAGGGGUGCUCUGGCUAAGCUGGUGGAAGCUGUUAGGACCAAUUACAACAGAUAGGACGAGAUCCCCAGCCACUGGGGAGGCAACUAAAGGAAAAGGCUGAAGAACUCACUACUAAACUGGGUUAA
rnacentral:lncRNA from 1 species